rnacentral:rRNA from 1 species
ACUCGCGGCGACCGGCGCACGGGUGCGUAACGCGUAUGCAACCUACCUUUAACAGGGGCAUAACACUGAGAAAUUGGUACUAAUUCCCCAUAACAUUCGAGAAGGCAUCUUCUUGGGUUAAAAACUCCGGUGGUUAAAGAUGGGCAUGCGUUGUAUUAGCUAGUUGGUGAGGUAACGGCUCACCAAGGCAACGAUACAUAGGGGGACUGAGAGGUUAACCCCCCACAUUGGUACUGAGACACGGACCAA